GGGCUUAUAGUUCAAUGGAUAGAAUGCCAGGCUUCGGACCUGUUGAUCGAGGUUCGAAUCCUCGUAGGCCCA
rnacentral:tRNA from 1 species